rnacentral:rRNA from 1 species
GAUGAACGCUGGCGGCGUGCCUAAUACAUGCAAGUCGAGCGAACAGACGAGGAGCUUGCUCCUCUGACGUUAGCGGCGGACGGGUGAGUAACACGUGGAUAACCUACCUAUAAGACUGGGAUAACUUCGGGAAACCGGAGCUAAUACCGGAUAACAUGUUGAACCGCAUGGUUCAACAGUGAAAGACGGUCUUGCUGUCACUUAUAGAUGGAUCCGCGCCGCAUUAGCUAGUUGGUAAGGUAACGGCUUACCAAGGCAACGAUGCGUAGCCGACCUGAGAGGGUGAUAGGCCACACUGGAACUGAGACACGGUCCAGACCCCUACGGGAGGCAGCAGUAGGGAAUCUUCCGCAAUGGGCGAAAGCCUGACGGAGCAACGCCGCGUGAGUGAAGAAGGUCUUCGGAUCGUAAAACUCUGUUAUUAGGGAAGAACAAAUGUGUAAGUAACUAUGCACGUCUUGACGGUACCUAAUCAGAAAGCCACGGCUAACUACGUG